CGAAAUUUGAAAUUUUGUGCUUAAAACAGAAAGUUUGAACCGGCAAGGAAUAUAGCCACCAGAACCGGGCCAGAAGGUUUCCAGGAGAGGAACACUGGAGAUCGAGAAAGUCGACUGCAGA